UACAGAGGGGGCAAGCGUUGUUCGGAAUUACUGGGCGUAAAGGGCGCGUAGGCGGCCUUCUAAGUCGAACGUGAAAUCCCCGGGCUCAACCCGGGAACUGCGUCCGAUACUGGAAGGCUUGAAUCCGGGAGAGGGAUGCGGAAUUCCAGGUGUAGCGGUGAAAUGCGUAGAUAUCUGGAGGAACACCGGUGGCGAAGGCGGCAUCCUGGACCGGCAUGACGCUGAGGCGCGAAAGCGUGGGG
rnacentral:rRNA from 1 species